GGCCUCCAGUCAUCACCAGGAGAUCAGCGGCUGUGGGGAAAGAGAAGGCCGAGGCUGCUGCAAAAUGCAUUGCAAAUGUCAUGUGUGCUGCAAAUGCACAUUUCAGACAUUGAGUAGGAAUAAAACCUGAAGAUGGAGACCAAUUCUGUAGCUUUGAAACAUCAGAACACCAGGCUCUCAAGCCUCCUCAGCAUAGGACAGAACAGAACAACGCACUCAAAAGCAAUGAGAAACAUGAACAUAAUCCCAACAGGAGAGGAAGAAACUGGGCUGGCAAACAGGCAUUCCACCUCCACUGUCGUCAAGGAGGCACGUGGUGUACAUAUGUUGCUGGAGCUCCUUAUUUCUCCAUUGCUGGGCCAGAAGUCACAUGGUUGCCCUGUCUUGCCUCUCUUGGAAGAGCCUGCCUCUCUGGAACCUACCCUUGGAUGUCCAGCAGGUUCAUCUCCAUGGCAAUUUCAAUUUUGUAGGUUUUUUUUUUCCCCCUUCUGUUGUUAGGUGGGGGAAUGACACAACUGUCUAUAGUCUCCAUGAAAAAGGAGCUCUGGAAUCCUGGUGUACUCUUUAAAUUUUUAUAUUACUUUUUAACUGAUCGUAAAAGUUACAUAUAUCUAUGGGGUACUAUGUGAUGUUCUGGAGUGUGUAUUCAUCUUAUAAUGUUUAAACGAGGCUUAAUAAAUCAGUUUGAAUAGACAUUUAA
rnacentral:lncRNA from 1 species